UUGAUGUUGGAUUACCAGUGAGCGGCGGACGGGUGAGUAACACGGUGGGCAACCUGCCCUGAAGCGGGGGAUAACAUCUGGAAACAGGUGCUAAUACCGCAUAACAACGAAAACCACAUGGUUUUCGUUUCAAAGAUGGUUUCGGCUAUCACUUCAGGAUGGGCCCGCGGUGCAUUAGCUAGUUGGUAAGGUAACGGCUUACCAAGGCAAUGAUGCAUAGCCGAGUUGAGAGACUGAUCGGCCACAAUGGAACUGAGACACGGUCCAUACUCCUACGGGAGGCAGCAGUAGGGAAUUUUCCACAAUGGGCGCAAGCCUGAUGGAGCAACACCGCGUGAGUGAAGAAGGGUUUCGGCUCGUAAAGCUCUGUUGUUGGAGAAGAACGUGCGUGAGAGUAACUGUUCACGCAGUGACGGUAUCCAACCAGAAAGUCACGGCUAACUACGUGCCAGCAGCCGCGGUAAUACGUAGGUGGCAAGCGUUAUCCGGAUUUAUUGGGCGUAAAGCGAGCGCAGGCGGUUGCUUAAGUCUGAUGUGAAAGCCUUCGGCUUAACCGAAGAAGGGCAUCGGAAAACCGGGCGACUUGAGUGCA
rnacentral:rRNA from 1 species